AACGCACAUUGCACUCUGUUUGCGCAGAGUAUGCCUGUUUGAGAAUCUAUAGUAUUCUUUUUCUCUAUAAAGUUUUUAAUUUUAUAUGGGAAAGUUUUGCGGAUUUUGGGUUAUUAAAAAUACCCAAUUCUGUUAAAUCUAUAGUCAUUUUUUUUAUAGUCAAUGUUUGAACUCUAUAAAAACUUUGCAGAAAUGUAUUUGAAUGAACCUACCAGUUCUCCUUAUACAAAUUACGCAGAGAGAGAUUAGUUUUCUAUAGAAAAUAAUGCCCAUAACCAUUAAAAAAGUGAAUCGUAAGGUUGACUUUUUGAACCAUGGUCUCAAAUCAGGUAGGAUUACCCGCUGAACUUAA
rnacentral:misc_RNA from 1 species